AUCUCUUCUUCUCUCAUCUCUCUUUUCUUCUCUCUUUUCCUCACAUAAACUCUCUUUUUUUACUAUUAAAUCCAUAUGGUACCUCAAAUUAAUCUAUGGUCAUCUAGGGUUAUCUUGAAGAUUAGAAUUGAUUCUAGCACGCACAGAGAGGAAGAUCAUUGCAUCCAGAAUCACAAACAUGGCCUAUCUUUUAUCUUUUCUUUUUGAUCUAAGUCACUGUUUUAUGCUAUAUAUAGUAUAAUCAAAUUCUUUACAUGUGCUUGUAUGUAUGCGUAUAUAUAGUAACGGAAUUGUUAAUAUGCUUAUAGAUGUUGAGUUGGUGG
rnacentral:misc_RNA from 1 species